rnacentral:rRNA from 1 species
GAUGAACGCUGGCGGCGUGCCUAAUACAUGCAAGUCGAGCGAACGGACGAGAAGCUUGCUUCUCUGAUGUUAGCGGCGGACGGGUGAGUAACACGUGUAUAACCUACCUAUAAGACUUGGAUAACUUCGGGAAACCGGAUCUAAUACCGGAUGAUAUUUUGCACCGCAUUGUUCAAAAGUGAAAGACGGUCUUUCUGUCACUUAUAGAUUUAUCCGCGCUGCAUUAGCUAGUUGGUAAGGUAACUGCUUACCAAGGCAACGAUGCAUAGCCGACCUGAGAGGGUGAUCGGCAACACUGGAACUGAGACACGGUACAGACUCAUACGGGAGGAAGCAGUAGGGAAUCUUACGCAAUGGGCGAAAGCCUGACGGAGCAACGCCGCGUGAGUGAUGAAGGUGUUCGGAUCGUAAAACUCUGUUAUUAGGGAAGAACAUAUGUGUAAGUAACUGUGCAGAUAUUGACGGUACCUAAUCAGAAAGCAACGGCUAACUACGUG